ACAUGCCUACAUCAUAUCGUUAAUGCACUAGAUCCCAUUAGAACUUCACAGUUAAGCACGCCCAGGCUAGAGUAGUACUGGGAUGAGUGACCUCCUGAGAAGUCCUAGUGUUUUACAUGCU
rfam:Picea glauca, whole genome shotgun sequence.